rnacentral:rRNA from 1 species
CCUACGAGAUGCCGCAGUGAGGAAUAUUUGUCAAUGGGCGGAAGCCUGAACCAGCCAAGUAGCGUGCGGGAUGAAGGCCCUACGGGUCGUAAACCGCUUUUGCACGGGGAUAACACCCUCCACUUGUGGAGGUCUGCAGGUACCGUUCGAAUAAGGGCCGGCUAAUUCCGUGCCAGCAGCCGCGGUAAUACGGACGGCCCGAGCGUUAUCCGGUUUCAUUGGGCUUACAGGGUGCGCAGGCGGUCUGUUAAGUCAGCGGUAAAAGCCCGGGGCUAAACCCCGCCCCGCCGUUGAAACUGGCAGUCUCGAGUUGGAGAGAAGUAUGCGGAAUGCGCGGUGUAGCGGUGAAAUGCAUAGAUAUCGCGCAGAACUCCGAUUGCGAAGGCAGCAUGACGGCUCCACACUGACGCUGAGGCACGAAAGCGUGGGUAUCGAACAGGAUUAGAUACCCUGGUAGUC